GAUGAACGCUGGCGGCGUGCCUAAUACAUGCAAGUCGAACGCUGGAAAUCUAGCUUGCUAGAUUGAAGGAGUGGCGAACGGGUGAGUAAUACAUAAGCAACCUACCCACGAAGACUGGGAUAAUCUCUGGAAACGGGGACUAAUACCGGAUAGGUAAUCGGAAGGCAUCUUCUGAUUAUUAAAGGUUAAUAACACUGGUGGAUGGGCUUAUGGCGCAUUAGUUAGUUGGUGAGGUAACGGCCCACCAAGACGAUGAUGCGCAGCCGGCCUGAGAGGGUGAACGGCCACAUGGGGACUGGGACACCGCCCAGGCUCCUACGGGAGGCAGCAGUAGGGAAUGUUCGGCAGUGGUGGAGACCCUGACCGAGCAACGCCGCGUGAGUGAUGACGGCCUUCGGGUUGUAAAGCUCUGUUGUAAGGGAAGAACGGUAGAUAGAGAAGAUCUAAAUGACGGUACCUUACCAGAAAGCCACGGCUAACUACGUG
rnacentral:rRNA from 1 species